rnacentral:rRNA from 1 species
CCUACGGGAGGCAGCAGUGGGGAAUAUUGCACAAUGGGCGGAAGCCUGAUGCAGCGACGCCGCGUGAGGGAUGAAGGCCUUCGGGUUGUAAACCUCUUUCAGCAGGGACGAAGCGUGAGUGACGGUACCUGCAGAAGAAGCACCGGCUAACUACGUGCCAGCAGCCGCGGUAAUACGUAGGGUGCGAGCGUUGUCCGGAAUUACUGGGCGUAAAGAGUUCGUAGGCGGUUUGUCGCGUCGUUUGUGAAAACCCGGGGCUCAACUUCGGGCUUGCAGGCGAUACGGGCAGACUUGAGUGUUUCAGGGGAGACUGGAAUUCCUGGUGUAGCGGUGAAAUGCGCAGAUAUCAGGAGGAACACCGGUGGCGAAGGCGGGUCUCUGGGAAACAACUGACGCUGAGGAACGAAAGCGUGGGUAGCAAACAGGAUUAGAUACCCUGGUAGUCCACGCCGUAAACGGUGGCGCUAGGUGUGGGUUCCUUCCACGGGAUCUGUGCCGUAGCUAACGCAUUAAGCGCCCGCCUGGGGAGUACGGCCGCAAGGCAAAACUCAAAGGAUUGACGG